UUUCCGUAGGUGAACCUGCGGAAGGAUCAUUAUUGUAUAACCGAGGUGCGAGUGCUUUCGCUGACCCGAAAGGUCGUGCACGCACGAGUGCCCUCACACACUUCCUUCUCACCCCUAUGUGCACCACCGCGUGGGUCCCCCUUUGGCUUGUUCGGAGGGGGGCUUACGUUUUCACACAAACUUUGUAUGCAGUGUAGAAUGUAUUUUUUGUUUUUGCGAUCACGCAAUAAAUACAACUUUCAACAACGGAUCUCUUGGCUCUC
rnacentral:misc_RNA from 1 species